GACGAACGCUGGCGGCGUGCUUAACACAUGCAAGUCGAACGGAAGGGCCCCUUUUGGCGUACUCGAGGGGAGAACGGGUGGGUAACACGUGAGUAACCUGCCCUUCACUUCGGGAUAACUUCAGGAAACUGGGGCGAAUACCGGAUCGGAAUACUUGCUGCAUGGUGGGGGGUGGAAAGCUUCGGCGGCUUUGGGUGGGCUCGCGUCGUAACAGCUUGUUGGGGUGGUAGUGGGUUGCCAAGGCGUUGGCGGGUAGCCGGCCUGAGAGAGUGACAGGCCACACUGGGUCUGAGGGGCGGCCGAGGCGGCGACGGGAGGCAGCAGUGGGGAAGAUUGCACCAUGGGCGGAAGCCGGAUGCAGCAAGGCCGCGUGCGGGAUGACGGUCUUCGGGGUGUAGACCGCGUUCAGCAGGAGCGAAGCUUGUGGUGACGGUACCUGCAGAAGAAGCACCGGCUAACUACGUG
rnacentral:rRNA from 1 species